GAUGAACGCUGGCGGCGUGCCUAAUACAUGCAAGUCGAGCGAACGGACGAGAAGCUUGCUUCUCUGAUGUUAGCGGCGGACGGGUGAGUAACACGUGGAUAACCUACCUAUAAGACUGGGAUAACUUCGGGAAACCGUAGCUAAUACCGGAUAAUAUUUUGAACCGCAUGGUUCAAAAGUGAAAGACGGUCCUGCUGUCACUUAUAGAUGGAUCCGCGCUGCAUUAGCUAGUUGGUAAGGUAACGGCUUACCAAGGCAACGAUGCAUAGCCGACCUGAGAGGGUGAUCGGCCACACUGGAACUGAGACACGGUCCAGACUCCUACGGGAGGCAGCAGUAGGGAAUCUUCCGCAAUGGGCGAAAGCCUGACGGAGCAACGCCGCGUGAGUGAUGAAGGUCUUCGGAUCGUAAAACUCUGUUAUUAGGGAAGAACAUAUGUGUAAGUAACUAUGCACAUCUUGACGGUACCUAAUCAGAAAGCCACGGCUAACUACGUG
rnacentral:rRNA from 1 species